rnacentral:rRNA from 1 species
AUUGAACGCUGGCGGCAUGCCUAACACAUGCAAGUCGAACGGCAGCACGGGAGCUUGCUCCUGGUGGCGAGUGGCGGACGGGUGAGUAAUGCAUAGGAAUCUGCCCAGUAGCGGGGGACAACUUGGGGAAACUCAAGCUAAUACCGCAUGCGCCCUACGGGGGAAAGCGGGGGGCCUUCGGGCCUCGCACUAUUGGAUGAGCCUAUGUCAGAUUAGCUUGUUGGUGGGGUAACGGGCCUACCAAGGCGACGAUCUGUAGCUGGUCUGAGAGGACGAUCAGCCACACUGGGACUGAGACACGGCCCAGACUCCUACGGGAGGCAGCAGUGGGGAAUAUUGCACAAUGGGCGAAAGCCUGAUGCAGCAAUGCCGCGUGUGUGAAGAAGGCCUGCGGGUUGUAAAGCACUUUCAGUAGGGAGGAAACAGUAGCCGGUUAAUAUCCGGUUGCCUUGACGUUACCUACAGAAGAAGCACC